CUUCUCCAAUAGCUCAAGCUAAUAUAAUAUACCAUUUUUAAUUUCAGUAAAUCAUAAGAGUAUCAUAAGAUAGGAAAUUCAAAUGUUUGAGAUUCAAAUAUGAGAUAUUGCAUAACAUUCAAAAAAACUAACAUUCAAAUAUGAGUUUGGUGGAAGGUUAUAAAGUUCUAAAAUAGAGUGUAAGAACCCUAAAAAAUCAAUAGAGGCA
rnacentral:lncRNA from 1 species